CAGGACGAACGCUGGCGGCGUGCCUAAUACAUGCAAGUCGAGCGCGGGAAGCGAACGGAACUCUUCGGAGGGAAGUUCGUGGAACGAGCGGCGGACGGGUGAGUAACACGUAGGCAACCUGCCUGUAAGACUGGGAUAACUCGCGGAAACGCGAGCUAAUACCGGAUAACACUUUCUAUCACCUGAUGGAAAGUUGAAAGGCGGCUUUUGCUGUCACUUACAGAUGGGCCUGCGGCGCAUUAGCUAGUUGGUGAGGUAACGGCUCACCAAGGCGACGAUGCGUAGCCGACCUGAGAGGGUGAUCGGCCACACUGGGACUGAGACACGGCCCAGACUCCUACGGGAGGCAGCAGUAGGGAAUCUUCCGCAAUGGACGAAAGUCUGACGGAGCAACGCCGCGUGAGUGAUGAAGGUUUUCGGAUCGUAAAACUCUGUUGUCAGGGAAGAACAAGUACGAUAGUAACUGAUCGUACCUUGACGGUACCUGACCAGAAAGCCACGGCUAACUACGUGCCAGCAGCCGCGGUAAUACGUAGGUGGCAAGCGUUGUCCGGAAUUAUUGGGCGUAAAGCGCUCGCAGGCGGUUCUUUAAGUCUGAUGUGAAAUCUUGCGGCUCAACCGCAAACGUGCAUUGGAAACUGGAGGACUUGAGUGCAGAAGAGGAGAGUGGAAUUCCACGUGUAGCGGUGAAAUGCGUAGAGAUGUGGAGGAACACCAGUGGCGAAGGCGACUCUCUGGUCUG
rnacentral:rRNA from 1 species